rnacentral:lncRNA from 13 species
GCGCUGCAUGGCUGCCGGCUUCCGGCUUCUCUCUGCUCCGUUCUCCGUUCGCGCGUUCUGUUCUCUCCAUUUUUGGCAGUUGAACGGGACUGUGCAUUUUAAGGACAAACUCCAAACGAAGCAUUGUUUGCACGUGCAAUACUUUACACGUUUAUCUGUAGAAAACACUAAACAAUAAUAGAAUUUGAAACAAUGUCAUAUUUUUUUACUAGAUGCUUUUUUUACUAGACAUUAUUUUAUUAUUAGAAGUUAUACUUAAUUAUACUAAGAAAACCAUGUGUUCCAUAUUUGAAACAGAUCUCAUAUAUUUAUUACAUUUCGAAAUUACUUGAUAUUUUAAUACACAAAAAGAUCAGACAAUCUUAAAUACAAAUAUGAUAUUUGUAUGAAAAACGUAGCAAACAGAUUAUGCAAGUUGAAUAGAAUGUACUGUGGAAGAGCAAGUUGAUGCUAAUACUGAAUAAUUACAAAAAACAAUUGUGAAUAUUUGACAACACUUUCCAUAAUAUCUAUUGGAAAAUUAAUAGCAAAAUUUGCAUUCAUCGAUAGAGCAAUUAUUUUGUUCUCUUAAGUAGACCAGAAUAUGUAAAUAGGUGCUUUUGACAAGUAAUUAUUCGUUUUUCAUGAUUACACAAUCUAAAACGAUUUUAGGAAUAAAGCAUCAAAUUUUUUAAUGCAAUAUUUGCGCAAGGAUUUUACAAACGGAGAAAUUAUAAUAUACUAUGGAAAAUGUGAUGGCAAUGCUAGACUCCAAGGAAAAGCUCAACACUUGGCAAUUUCUAUAAUAUUGGCUAUAUAUUGAAAAACUGAUGGCAAAAUUUGAAUUCAUCAAUAGGAAGAGCAAUCGUGAUUUUAAUAUCUUAGAUCGGAAUAUGUAAAUAGGCGAUUGUGACAAGUAAUUAUUUGUUUUUCAUUCCCAGUAAACGGAAAUGGAUUUAAAUGGAUUCAAAAUUUAUAAUCCAUUUUAAUUUAUUUGAUAUUAUUCCAAUCUUAUGUCAUAAGUUAAAAUGAUUGAGAGACUCACGAAAACUUUUAAUUGUAAGUUGUAAAAUGUUGAGAAAAAGUAUUGACACUAUUGAUUAAAAUUUUAUAAUUGAAUUAU